GUGUUUCUAAAUUGCACUAUAUUUUCUUAGCUUGAUGGGAAUUUACAGCACCCGGAUUGGAGCGAAAUUGGGCUCUCCCCGAGGCUUGGAAAUCACUGGGGUCGAUUGCUAUGGCUGCUGACUCCCCCCUUGGACCGUUUCUGCUAAUUAUUUAUAUUAAGAAGAAUCAGAAUCUGAGAAAGGACACCCAGGAGAUUCGCUUGGUGGCAGGUUGGUCCCCGUCUCUGUCCACUCUGGAGACUUGGGAGGGGUGCUGUCAUUUACUGAGCCUGCGAGGUGGCAGGCACUGCACUCGCCAUUCCUGGCAUCCGCUCAUCGGACCCUCCUCGAGGAAGUGCCAUCAAGGCCCCAGGGGAGCCGUGUGUCCCUGCCGCCUGAUUCACGGAAUGGCGACAUGCAGCCCCCAGGAGUGCCCGGCCCCUGGCCUCCUCCUGCUCUUUGCUCACUCCGGAGGGACCCGGAGGGGACAGACGUGGAGAAGGGGAGUGAGCGAAAGGCAGAGAAGGACCCUCGCAAACAGUUCCCUCCUCAUCUGUGGAGUCUUUGGCCAGAUUUGGUUGUUGGUGGCGGGGGUACAGGAUCAUGCAUCCUUCCAGAUGUGUUGGGUCUUAGACUGGGACCCAGACCUUUGAACUUAGAAACUGGAUAUUUGAGCAUCUUUGUUUCCUCUGUGCCUGGGUUCUGGGACUGCGAUGGGAGAGGGCUCCACUCAUUUAUUAUUUUCCUCCACAAUAAAAACUAUCAUCGGGGGCACCUGGGGGGCUCAGUGGGUUAAGCGUCUGCCUUCAGCUCAGGUCAUGAUCUCAGGGUCCUGGGAUCGAGACCCACAUCGGGCUCCCAGCUCAGCAGGGGAGCCUGCUUCUCCCUCUCCCUCUGCCUGCCACUUCUCCUGAUUGUGCUCUCUCUCUCUCUGUCA
rnacentral:lncRNA from 1 species